UAAAUGCUUAAGAGCGUAUCUUUUUCCUUUCAGCAAUCAAGAAGGGAUGGUUAUCAGCAGGGUAUUACUGAAAAGGAUUUCAUCUGGAGAAUAAAGAACGAAACUGGCAGUAUUUUAAAAUAUAAUUCUGCAGAGAACAAAGAGAAGUCUGGAUUCAUCAUAGAAUUUGUAAAAGGCCCAAUAUCCUGAUGAAGUGGAGGGUGUUGUUAGAGAAGGGAUAAAGACAAAUUUUGAAUCGUUCAAAGCAAAGAAACGAAGAGACGAAACUGGUAAACAAGAAGAACAUA